AUGCCCCCAAAUGUUCCCAACAUGCCCACUGUCCCCAGUGUCCCUGCUGUCCCCAGUCCCCCCCAGUGUCCCCCCAAAUGUCCCCAAUGUCCCCCAAUCUCCCCAAUGUCCCCAUCAAUGUCCCCAAUGUCCCCAGUUCCCCCAAUCCCCCCACUGUCCUCAGUGUCCCUCAAUGUCCCCAAUAUCCCCCAGUGUCCCCGCAGUGUCCCCAUCAUUGUCCGCAAUAUCCCGCCAGUGUCCCCGCAGUGUUCCCAAUGUCCCCAGUGUCCCCAAUCCCCCCAAUGUGUCCCACUGUGUCCCCGCGGUGUCCCCCUCAUUGUCCCCAAUGUGUCCCCGCGGUGUCCCCCUCAUUGUCCCCAGUGUGUCCCCACUGUGUCCCCCCCAGUGUCCCCUCACUGUCCCCCUCAUUGCCCCCACUGUGUCCCCAAUGUGUCCCCCCAAGUGUCCCCGCGGUGUCCCCCACAGUGUCCCCUCACUGUCCCCUCACUGUCCCCCACUGUGUCCCCUGUGUCCCCCCACUGUGUCCCCACAGUGUCCCCCACACUGUCCCCUCACUGUCCCCUCACUGUCCCCCCUGUGUCCCCCCACUGUGUCCCCUCACUGUCCCCUCACUGUCCCCCCUGUGUCCCCCACUGUGUCCCCUCACUGUCCCCCCAGUGUCCCCCUGUGUCCCCUCACUGUCCCCUCACUGUCCCCACUGUGUCCCCUCACUGUCCCCUCACUGUCCCCUCACUGUCCCCGCCAGUGUCCCCGCUGUGUCCUCACUGUCCCCUCACUGUCCCCCACUGUGUCCCCCUCACUGUCCCCCCACUGUCCCCUCACUGUCCCCUCACUGUCCCCCACUGUGUCCCCCCUCUCCCCAGUGUCCCCGCUGUGUCCCCUCACUGUCCCCUCACUGUCCCCUCACUGUCCCCUCACUGUCCCCUCACUAUCCCCACUGUGUCCCCCUCAUUGUCCCCUCACUGUCCCAGCUGUGUCCCCCCCACUGUCCCCUCACUGUCCCCUCACUGUCCCCGCUGUGUCCCCGCCCCCAGGCCAACGCCGCCAUCCUCGUUGUCACCCUCUGGAAGUUGGUGCAGAAAUUCCACGAGGUCACCCCGGACAUGGGGACCCUGCGCCGGGCACGGGUGCUGUGGGUGACGUCACUGGGCCAGCUCUCCCUGCUGGGCUCUGGUUGGGCGCUGGGCGUGGGGGCGGGGCUGGGCUGGGCGGGGGGGGGGGCCGCCCCUCCCCCGGCAGCGCCCCCCCGCCCCUCCCCCUCCUGUUCUGCGCCGUCAACGCCGCGCAGGGGCUGCUGAUCUUCCUGUGCCACUGCCUGGGGCACCCCAAGGUGCGCGCCUGGUACCGGUCCCUGCUGUGCCCGCGCUCGCGGCCGUACUCGAGUUCACCAGUCACACCAGUAACACCAGUAACCCCACCAGUCACACCAGUAUGGGCCGGGCGAGGGGCUCCCAGUCACACCAGUAACACCAGGUGAGAUAUCCCAGUCACACCAGUAACCCGACCAGUCACACCAGUAUGGGCUGGGCGAGGGGCUCCCAGUCACACCAGUAACAGGUGAGAUAUCCCAGUCACACCAGUCACACCAGUAACACCAGUAACACCAGUAACAGGUGAGAUAUCCCAGUAACACCAGUAACACCAGUAACCCCACCAGUCACACCAGUAUGGGCCGGGCGAGGGGCUCCCAGUCACACCAGUAACACCAGUAACAGGUGAGAUAUCCCAGUCACACCAGUAACACCAGUAACAGGUGAGCUAUCCCAGUCACACCAGUAACACCAGUCACACCAGUAACACCAGUAACACCAGUAACAGGUGAGCUAUCCCAGUCACACCAGUCACACCAGUCACACCAGUAACAGGUGAGCUAUCCCAGUCACACCAGUCACACCAGUAACAGGUGAGAUAUCCCAGUCACACCAGUAACACCAGUAACAGGCGAGCUACCCCAGUCACACCAGUAACACCAGUCACACCAGUAACACCAGUAACACCAGUAACAGGUGAGCUAUCCCAGUCACACCAGUAACACCAGUAACGCCAGUAUGGGCCGGGCGAGGGGCUCCCAGUCACACCAGUAACACCAGGUGAGCUAUCCCAGUCACACCAGUAACACCAGUAACCAAACCAGUCACACCAGUAUAGGCCGGGAAAGGGGCUCCCAGUCACACCAGUGACACCAGUAACACCAGUGACCCCUCCCAGUAACACCAGUGACCUCUCCCAGUGACACCAGUGACCGCUCCCAGUAACACCAGUAACACCAGUAACACCAGUCACACCAGUAACACCAGUGACCUCUCCCAGUCACACCAGUGACCCCUCCCAGUAACACCAGUCACACCAGUAACACCAGUGACCUCUCCCAGUAACACCAGUGACCGCUCCCAGUAACACCAGUGACCCCUCCCAGUGCCACCAGUGACCGCUCCCAGUAACACCAGUAACACCAGUGACACCAGUGACCGCUCCCAGUAACACCAGUGACCUCUCCCAGUAACACCAGUGACCCCUCCCAGUAACACCAGUGACCCCUCCCAGUAACACCAGUGACCGCUCCCAGUAACACCAGUGACCCCUCCCAGUCACACCAGUAACACCAGUAACACCAGUGACCGCUCCCAGUAUCCCCAGUAACUCCUCCCCUCCCCCCACAGGUGCCGAAAAUUCCGAAAAAGAAUCGAAAAUUUCGGGGAAAAAAUCUUCGGAAUUUUUGGGAGAAAUCUUCGGAAAUUAAAUUUCGGGGGAAAAUCUUCGGAAUUUUUGGGAAAAAUCUUCGGAAUUUUGGGGAAUUUGGGAAUUUUUGCUGCCCCUCCCCCACCCACCCCCCGAUCCCCUCCCCCCACCAGGGAGAUCAAUAAAGGAAAACGAGGCCGAGUUUGGGGUGAAUUCCUGGAUUUUUGGGUAAAAUCCCAGAUUUUGGGGUGAAAUUCUGGAUUUUGGGGCGAAUGCCAGGAAUUUUUGGGUUCCAGGAGGGAUUUUGGGGUGAAAUUUGCACUUUUUGGGGGCAGUAAUGGGAAUUUUGGGAUGGCAAUGGAUGUUUUGGGGAGAAUUCCUGGGAUUUUUG
rnacentral:lncRNA from 1 species